GGGGGCGACUUGGUUUCGACGUGGGUUACAAAACCUAAGGGGCAUGUCGAGGGGCAGAUACCUCGUAAAUACUCUGCAAACUUUCUAGUUGCGAACGAAGACAACUACGCUUUAGCUGCUUAGGCAGCUAAACUGUCACCCGAAUGAGCCUGCGCGUUUGGAAUGACAGUCACUUUAGUAGGAUCGUGAAUUCAUGCGUCUAGGGUGGAUUCAUUAAACUUUACUUGGACUCACCUUUAAACUUUCCUGCCCGUCGGAGAGUUGAAGGUUAAAUUGAAGACUGGCUAAACAUGUAGGCCCAAGGGCGGAGGAUUUACGGACGCGAGUUCGAUUCUCGCCGCCUCCACCA
rnacentral:tmRNA from 1 species